rnacentral:tRNA from 1 species
GUGGGUGUAGCUCAGUGGUAGAGCACUGGAUUGUGGCUCCGGUUGUCGGGGGUUCAAUUCCCCUCACUCACCCCA